GACGGAGGAUGCAAGCGUUAUCCGGAAUGAUUGGGCGUAAAGCGUCCGCAGGUGGCAGUUCAAGUCUGCUGUCAAAGACCGGGGCUUAACUUCGGAAAGGCAGUGGAAACUGGACAGCUAGAGUAUGGUAGGGGCAGAGGGAAUUCCUGGUGUAGCGGUGAAAUGCGUAGAUAUCAGGAAGAACAUCGGUGGCGAAGGCGCUCUGCUGGACCAUAACUGACACUCAGGGACGAAAGCUAGGGGAGCGAAUGGG
rnacentral:rRNA from 1 species